AAAGUUUUUUCAUGGGCGUCCGCUAUGAUCAAGUCGGUAAGAUGUGAUUUUGACGGCAAAAUCACUGGAUGUUUUUUGUCUAUGUUGAAGUCAGCUCUUUCAAGACGACCACCAACUCGCAUGAUACUUUCACGAUCCAGAAAAGGAGUCAAUACGGUAAGUUUACUUUUCUUAUAAAUUGGUUUAUUAUUUCUUAAAUCAUUGAUUUCCAGAAAAAAAUACUCAUUCUGACAUGCUUUUAUAAUAAUAUGUAAUGCUUGAUUUAGUUCUUUAUUAGUUAACCAUAUAGGAAAACUCUCUUCAGGUCGCUUUAAUUUGUUUAUAAACCUUCUACAGUAAGCAAAUACUCUUAAUGAUUUCCUUAAAGUCGAAAAAUUUGUCCAAAAAAUGUUUUGACUACUAUCCACCACAUGGCAUGCCUUCACACCUUUUUCUUCUAAAUUAGUGUCUGGUAUGGGUUUCCUUUCGUAAUUGAUAACUUUAUUUUGUAGCCAGGGGGAACCAGUUCUCCACAUUUCCAUGUUUACUAAAGCUGAUGGUGUCACUCCCCGAGAGGCACAAUCUGCUGGAUUGUCGGUAGAUGAAACAUGUGACCACUGAGUUGCGUCUAAAAUGUCUAAAAUCUCCGAAACACGAUUAGCAAUGAAAGUUUUCCAUCGACUGGGAUGGCUACUUAACCAAGCUAGCACAACCGUGGAAUCAGUCCAAGCGUGAAGUUUAUCCUUUGACGUUAUCAGAUGGACAUGAACAUUUCCAGAGCCAUCAACUACCCGAACAUAAAUUACAGCAGCAUAAGCUUCAUUUGAAGCAUCGCUAAACCCAUGGAGCUCCAGUGUGACAUCUGCUUUAGUACUUAUCCAGCGUGGGAGUCGAAAUUUGGUAUGCUGAUUGGAGGUAGUUGCACGGAGUAUUCGAAGUCGUCGUUUCGUCGGUUCCAGGUAAGUCCUAAAAUUUUAACUAUUUCAUUUGAUUUCAGUUCUACAUUAAUAUCUAAGUCUAAACCUUCUUUAUUUAUUUCCUUUAACAGAUUUUCAUCAUUGCUUGACCACUUUUGGAGUUCGAAGCCGCCUGUCUUUAGUAGGUUGGUAAUAUCGUUAAAUAAUUGCUUUCCUUCUGAAACUGAUUCACACCCAGUAAGCAAAUCAUCCAUGUAAAAAUCCUUUAAGAUUUUUUCAGAUGCGACGGGAUACUCUCCUCCUUCAUCGUGUGCUAUCUGCUGCAGAGUUCGAACUGCAAGGUAAGGAGCAGACGCAGUGCCAAAAGUGACACGUAAAAGGCGAAGAUGCUGUAAAUCUUCUGUAGUGUCUGUGCGCCACACUAAACGUUGAUAGUCUACAUCUUCUCUUGUUACCCUAACUUGACGGUACAUUUUGAUUAUGUCGGCAACCCGACAAAUAGGAUGUAGCCUCCAUCUUAAAACAAUGUGACGUAAGUCAGGCUGUAGCGCCGGUCCGACCAUCAAAUCACUAUUCAGUGAUACACCGUUCUGGUCUCGACAGGAUGCAUCGAAAACAACUCUGAGUUUAGUCGUCGAUUUAUCAGCUCUAACGACCGCGUGAUGAGGUAAGUAAACCGUUUCUUUUUUGUCAAUUUCUUCUAUAGGUACUAACUCCAUAUGUCCCAACUUCAAAUACUCUGAUAUUACAUCUGUAUAUGAUUUCUUUAAAUCUGGUGAUUUCAAUAAACGCUUUUCUAACAUUAAGAAUCGUUUAAUUGCUAUCUCACGUGAAUUACCAUAUUUGCAGCUCGGAUCGACAUCUCUGAAUGGGAGUUUAACGAUAUAACUUCCUGAUGGAUCUCGCUUCGUGGUUUCUUUAUAGAUGUCUUCACAUCUUUGUUCUUCAUGAGUGAGGUGAGUUCUUUUAAGGUUAAAGUUAUCAGACUCAAGUUCCCAAAAUUGUUUAAGGUUAAAAUCAUCAUUGUUAAUUUGAGUGUGCAUUGUUAAUAUGUUUUCGCAACCCAAACCAUGUUGGUCGUGAUGAUCGUUCUCAAUUUUUCCAGAUAAGAUCCAACCUAGCCUAGUGUUCUGAGCUAUUGGUGUUCCUGGUGGUCCUCUCAUUAGACCCUCAGCUAUGAUUUGACAAUAGACAUCAGCACCAAGCAACAUAUCAAUAUGACUUGGUUUGUUGAAAUUUGGAUCUGCUAACUUCAUCCUUGGUAGAUUUGGCCACAGAUGGACAACGAAUUCCUUUACAGGGAGGAAUGAAGUUAGUUUUUUAAGAACAUGAGCUGUUACACAAAUAGUAAAUGAUUCAUCUUGAAUUGAUUGCAGAUUAAUCUGCACUACAUAUUUGGAAUCAAGUGGGGCAUUGCCGUCACCUCCAACUCCAGAUAUGACACUGUUGCUUUUGAUUUUCUUUAGCCCCAGCAACUGGACUGCAGACUCCGUAAUAAAUGAAGCCUGUGAGCCCUGAUCUAAUAAGGCUCGCAGUGUCAUACUUGAUCCAGAAUUAUUGUUGGCCCUUACGAGGGCUGUUGCCAAUAGAACUUGUUUUCUGGUAUUAGUAAAACAAGUGGUAAUAUUUUCAAUGUUGGUCUCGUCUGGUCUCGAUGUUGUUGCCGUUGCAACAACAUUGAUAUCUCCUGGUGAUUGGUUGUUAGCUGAUACAUUAUCUGUUGAUACACUAGCGUUGUAAUGCAAAAGUGAAUGGUGUUUUCGUUUGCAAAUCUUACACCUGGUGGGCAAACGACACUUCUCAACCGAAUGAUUAGCACCUAAACAGUUGAAGCAUAAGGCGGAACUUUGAACAAACUCACGACGUGUUUUAAGGUUACCCUUAGCAAAUUUCUUACAAUUUCCUAUUUUAUGCGUACUAUCUGAACAAAAGACACAAUUUGAUUUUUCCUUAAAAGUUACAUGAUGAGAUUGAGUGCUUUUGACUGGUUUGUUUAUUAAAAAUUCAAGUGACCUAAACCUUUGCUCUAAAAAUUCAAAAAACUGAUUUAAUGUUGGCAAUUCAUCUGUUAAAUUACAAAUUUUAGUUUCCCAUAACUCUCUAGACUUAGUAUCUAAUUUUGAACUUAAAAUAUAUAAAACAAUAACAUCCCAAUUGUCAGUUACUAUUCCUAUAUUUUUCAAUGCAUUUAAACAUUCAUUUGUGGUGUCUAGUAAUUCUUUAACAGCAUUUGA